AACGAACGCUGGCGGCAUGCCUAACACAUGCAAGUCGAACGAAGCCUUCGAGCUUAGUGGCGCACGGGUGCGUAACGCGUGGGAAUCUGCCCUUAGGUACGGAAUAACUCAGGGAAACUUGUGCUAAUACCGUAUGAUGUCGCGAGACCAAAGAUUUAUCGCCUAGGGAUGGGCCCGCGUUGGAUUAGCUAGUUGGUGAGGUAAAGGCUCACCAAGGCGACGAUCCAUAGCUGGUCUGAGAGGAUGAUCAGCCACACUGGGACUGAGACACGGCCCAGACUCCUACGGGAGGCAGCAGUGGGGAAUAUUGGACAAUGGGCGAAAGCCUGAUCCAGCAAUGCCGCGUGAGUGAAGAAGGCCUUCGGGUUGUAAAGCUCUUUUACCCGGGAAGAUAAUGACUGUACCGGGAGAAUAAGCCCCGGCUAACUCCGUGCCAGCAGCCGCCGCAG
rnacentral:rRNA from 1 species